rnacentral:rRNA from 1 species
UGUUCUUCGGAGCACGGUCGUGACUGCGUGCCUUUUGAAGAAUGAGCCUGCGAGUUUGCGGUGUGUUGCGAGGUUAACCCGUGUGGGGAAGCCGUAGCGAAAGCGAGUCCGAAUAGGGCGAUGUAGUAGCGCGCUCAAGACCCGAAGCGGAGUGAUCUAGCCAUGGGCAGGUUGAAGCGCGGGUAAGACCGUGUGGAGGACCGAACCCACCAGGGUUGAAAACCUGGGGGAUGACCUGUGG